UACGUAGGGUCCGAGCGUUGUCCGGAAUUACUGGGCGUAAAGCGCGUGUAGGCGGCUAUGUAAGUCGGGCGUGAAAUCCCACGGCUCAACCGUGGAAGUGCACCCGAAACUGCGUAGCUAGAGUCCUGGAGAGGAAGGUGGAAUGCUUGGUGUAGAGGUGAAAUUCGUAGAUAUCAAGCGGAACACCGGCGGCGAAGGCGGCCUUCUGGACAGUGACUGACGCUGAGACGCGAAAGCGUGGGGAGCAAACAGG
rnacentral:rRNA from 1 species